rnacentral:rRNA from 1 species
UACGUAGGUGGCAAGCGUUGUCCGGAUUUACUGGGCGUAAAGAGCGCGCAGGCGGUUGAUUAAGUCGAGUGUGAAAGCCCCCGGCUCAACUGGGGAGGGUCAUUCGAUACUGAUCGACUCGAAGGCAGGAGAGGGUAGUGGAAUUCCCGGUGUAGUGGUGAAAUGCGUAGAUAUCGGGAGGAACACCAGUGGCGAAGGCGACUACCUGGCCUGUUCUUGACGCUGAGGCGCGAAAGCUAGGGGAGCAAACGGG